AGAUAUCAGCACUUCAGAGACCAUUAAGAGGAAAGCACUGACAGAAGCAGUUGGAUGAGGCUCUCCGUCUGUUCGUGAAACGAGUGUGUCUGUGAUAAGAAGAAUGGAGCCGUGUUGUUUUGCUGUAUAUCAGUCUACAUGAGGCUUGUGUUAUAUGAGUUCAUAGCUGGUCUGGAUCAGAAGAAAUGCUAUUUGGUCCAGUUGAUCGCGUGGGAGGCACGAGGAUGCAGGUGAAGAAGGAAAUACAAGACCUUUGUAGGACGCAGAGUGUGGGAAUCUCCUCACCCGAUUGUUAUUAGUUUAUGGAGUAACAAUAGAGAGUUGAUCCCAGAGCCUUCUCUCAGACUGGACUUAAGGCGCCUAUCUCACCUGAAGGAAUUUCUGCAUUUCCUGCAGCCAAAUAUGGUCAACUCCCACUGGAUUCCGGUACUGGAUUGUGCAACUACCUCCUCUUGAAGUAACACGCAACAUCCUGCUUCAUCUCAAAGAUUUUUUUAAUGGCCAUAACUCAUGUUGUUAAAGCAAUAAGUAAACAUCCCAGAGGUCUACUGUAACCCUUUGGUUUCCUGUUGGGUUCCUUAGCGUUAUUAUUGUAAAGGUCUGCAAAUAUCAAUUCCUUUUUGAAAGGUUGACUCUGUGUAUUGUUAUUUUAUCUUUGUUGUUCUGUCAAUAGAAUCUUUGAAGUUUUUUUUCACAAAAGAUCUUUGGUAAAUAGUCUGCU